AUUUUUCAUACAGGAUGGGUGCUUUGCUCUGUCGGCAAGGAGAUGACACACUCUUGUGAUACAUGUACACCAGUUCCUGCAGUUUCCAUCUGUGGCUUACCCCUGAUUUAAUACAUGUUCUCAUUGUGACUCAACAUGAAAGAAAGAGCAAACCACUCACUAAUGCAUGGACAUCACAAUAAGCCCGAAAGUUCGUGUUGACUCUGGCUUACAAAUACUGCUCCACAUGUGGUAUUGGACUCCACCAUGCUUGAGGAUGGACUCUUCUCUUCUUGCUGGGUACCAGGUUGUGCACCAUCAUUCUCAACUGAACAUGGAGAAAGUAGACCAUAGAAAGACUGAAGGUGCAACAGUGGUAGUUCUUCAUCCCUAACAGGAGACGAUCAGGGCUCUCAAGGGCCAGCACUAGAGAUGCUGAAAUAUCUCUGUCCCAGCAAGCAAGUAAGAAGUACUGAUCUUUGAUGUGCUACUCUCCAUUGGCCCUGAUAGUGAAUGCAUUCUUAAUAUGCAAAAACCUCUGUAUCUUGAUUGCUACACAUUCUCUCUUUUGUCUCCUACAAGUGCUAGUGGGACUUUGUGGAUUCGUUCCUCCCAUUGGCCAAUCAGGUCGUACCGCCUACCUGUCUUCACCUAUCCCCACUUCACCACCCUGUCCCUGCCACUCCUUUUAUCUGCAGUUUCCCCCCACACCCAGCCCCCAGUCCUGAAGAAGGGUUACACCUGAAACAUUGACUUCUCCACCCCUCAAUAUUGCCUGCCUUGCUGUGUUCUUCCAGCCUCCUGCUUUGUCUACUGCGAGAUUUCCAUGGUGGCCAAAGUCAAGAUGGCUAUGCCAUAAGACACUUGCUCUUCCACCUCUGAGGAGGAGAGCACUGAUGCUUAGGCUCUGCCCUGCACCCACAGUAGCUCAGAGACUGACACCUCCACUGAUAUGCAGAUCAGGUUAGAGUACUGAGCACCUAUUGGUGAACAUUUCACAGCCACAUCCCUGAAGCUGAUCAUGGACGAAAUGCUGCCAGUCUCUGGCACUCAGAGGAUUGUAGGAGACCAGGCGCUUGCUCAUCCCAGGCAGGGGAGAAACCCCUCACAAUGUUGGCAAUUCAUGACUUUAUUGGCAUAGAGAAACAGAUGUGUUUCAGCUUCAGUGUAUAGGUUUCAGUGUAAUGUUGCCCUUUGAACAAGACAAAAUA